rnacentral:pre_miRNA from 10 species
UAAUUAGAGUCUGAGAACUGCUCUGUGGUUUAGGUAGUUUCAUGUUGUUGGGGCUCCACCUUUCUCUCUACAGCACGAAACUGCCUUAAUUACUUCAGUUGAUAUCAUCACCAGGUAUG